GAUGAAGAACGCAGCGAAAUGCGAUAAGUAAUGUGAAUUGCAGAAUUCAGUGAAUCAUCGAAUCUUUGAACGCACAUUGCGCCCUCUGGUAUUCCGGGGGGCAUGCCUGUUCGAGCGUCAUUAUAACCACUCAAGCUCUCGCUUGGUAUUGGGGUUCGCGGUUCCCCGGCCCCUAAAAUCAGUGGCGGUGCCUGUCGGCUCUACGCGUAGUAAUACUCCUCGCGAUUGAGUCCGGUAGGUCUACUUGCCAGCAACCCCCAAUUUUUACAGGUUGACCUCGGAUCAGGUAGGGAUACCCGCUGAACUUAAGCAUAUCAAUAAGCGGAGGA
rnacentral:misc_RNA from 1 species